rnacentral:lncRNA from 1 species
UUUAUCAUUCUGUAGGUGCAGAUUUGCCAGCACACACACACACACACACACACACACACACACACAGAGAGAGAGAGAGAGAGAGAGAGAGAGAGAUUCAAAACAUAAUUAACUGACCUAAAGGUCAGAUCUGAGUUUCACACAUACUUUUCAAUCCGGACUGGGGCUGAACACCUCCAGCUCUAUUUUAACCUGCAGAGACAUGGAGACAUACACAUAUACCAGCGUCUGCAUUGCUGUCACGUCUCUGCGUCACCGCCUUUCAUCAUCCCAGCGCUUGCAGACCUGACUCAUGGAUCAUGUAAAAAUGAGUAUGUGGAUCCUGCAGACUCCUGCUGAUGCCGGUUUGAAAGCCUACCACUGCACUUCCUUUUGAAUGGACAUUAGAAGGUGUGUGAAGAGAAGUCUGACUACGAAUUUGUUAUGAUGGGAAACGGUGGGACACUGGUGUUGGUCAUUCUCACAUCCAUCUUUAUGGCAAGAAGUCACACAAAAGGAGAAAGAUUUUGUCUCCGAAUAAAGGAGGACACACCUGAGAAGAGAUGAAGUGAUACAGAGAAGUGUGAAUGGAAAAAACGAAUUUUUGAAUGACCUGAGGAUUAAAAUUUUUUUUUAUUUAAUAGCUUAUCCUUACAAAAAAAAAAGUAUGUGUUGUGUUUAUCAUUAGAUCAAUUUUUUAAUCUGGCAUCUAAAUGAAAAAUCUUGCAUGUUCUCAUCUUUCUCAUGAUUGUAACAUGAUUUGAUAGUGUGCCUGAUGUAUUUGUGUGUUGAUGUAUUUUUGAUGCUUAAAGUGUGGUUUAAAUUACUAUAUCUAUCCAGCUUCACAUACAAAUCAUAGUCUACAAAUCAUUUUCGAAUAAAACCUAAGAAUCUUGCAAUCUUUAUUUGUGGUAAUCUGAAGUGAUUUCAUUACUUGCACAUAUGCAAUAAAGGUCAUUACUGUUGCUUGAGACAGAGAAUAGCG